GUGUACGUGUGUAGGGCUUUCAAUGGAGGAGCCCUUGAGGAAUCUAUUGUAGCCCUUGUUUGAGUCUUUGUGAGCAGGGCGGUAUUGAAGAUGGCGAAGAACCCAAAUCAGCAGCUGUUAGGGAACUACAACAAGAGAUUGGGGUUUCUUAUGAGAAUCACAAAUGAUGAGACUGAGAUCAACUUAACUACUGGGGAAGCGGAUGCAGAGUUUACAGAGUGAAAUGGGCGAGCCCUGAAGAGGUUAUUGAGCAGGUACAGCAACGUAAUCCUUCCAGUUAAUCAAGUUCAUCUAUUUUGUUUUCCGAAGUAUAUCAUAUGAAAUGGUUUCUUAUUUCAAAAAAACUACCACUUGUUCCUCACAACUCGUCUAGAAUUCAUACUUCUACAAAAGUCCAUAUAUAGGUCAUAUGUUGGUUUUGUAUAA